rnacentral:rRNA from 1 species
AAAUUGAAGAGUUUGAUCAUGGCUCAGAUUGAACGCUGGCGGCAGGCCUAACACAUGCAAGUCGAACGGUAACAGGAAGCAGCUUGCUGCUUUGCUGACGAGUGGCGGACGGGUGAGUAAUGUCUGGGAAACUGCCUGAUGGAGGGGGAUAACUACUGGAAACGGUGGCUAAUACCGCAUAACGUCGCAAGACCAAAGAGGGGGACCUUCGGGCCUCUUGCCAUCAGAUGUGCCCAGAUGGGAUUAGCUUGUUGGUGAGGUAACGGCUCACCAAGCGACGAUCCCUAGCUGGUCUGAGAGGAUGACCAGCCACACUGGAACUGAGACACGGUCCAGACUCCUACGGGAGGCAGCAGUGGGGAAUAUUGCACAAUGGGCGCAAGCCUGAUGCAGCCAUGCCGCGUGUAUGAAGAAGGCCUUCGGGUUGUAAAGUACUUUCAGCGGGGAGGAAGGUGUUGUGGUUAAUAACCGCAGCAAUUGACGUUACCCGCAGAAGAAGCACCGGCUAACUCCGUGCCAGCAGCCGCGGUAAUACGGAGGGUGCAAGCGUUAAUCGGAAUUACUGGGCGUAAAGCGCACGCAGGCGGUCUGUCAAGUCGGAUGUGAAAUCCCCGGGCUCAACCUGGGAACUGCAUUCGAAACUGGCAGGCUUGAGUCUUGUAGAGGGGGGUAGAAUUCCAGGUGUAGCGGUGAAAUGCGUAGAGAUCUGGAGGAAUACCGGUGGCGAAGGCGGCCCCCUGGACAAAGACUGACGCUCAGGUGCGAAAGCGUGGGGAGCAAACAGGAUUAGAUACCCUGGUAGUCCACGCCGUAAACGAUGUCUACUUGGAGGUUGUGCCCUUGAGGCGUGGCUUCCGGAGCUAACGCGUUAAGUAGACCGCCUGGGGAGUACGGCCGCAAGGUUAAAACUCAAAUGAAUUGACGGGGGCCCGCACAAGCGGUGGAGCAUGUGGUUUAAUUCGAUGCAACGCGAAGAACCUUACCUGGUCUUGACAUCCACAGAACUUUCCAGAGAUGGAUUGGUGCCUUCGGGAACUGUGAGACAGGUGCUGCAUGGCUGUCGUCAGCUCGUGUUGUGAAAUGUUGGGUUAAGUCCCGCAACGAGCGCAACCCUUAUCCUUUGUUGCCAGCGAUUAGGUCGGGAACUCAAAGGAGACUGCCAGUGAUAAACUGGAGGAAGGUGGGAUGACGUCAAGUCAUCAUGGCCCUUACGACCAGGGCUACACACGUGCUACAAUGGCGCAUACAAAGAGAAGCGACCUCGCGAGAGCAAGCGGACCUCAUAAAGUGCGUCGUAGUCCGGAUUGGAGUCUGCAACUCGACUCCAUGAAGUCGGAAUCGCUAGUAAUCGUGGAUCAGAAUGCCACGGUGAAUACGUUCCCGGGCCUUGUACACACCGCCCGUCACACCAUGGGAGUGGGUUGCAAAAGAAGUAGGUAGCUUAACCUUCGGGAGGGCGCUUACCACUUUGUGAUUCAUGACUGGGGUGAAGUCGUAACAAGGUAACCGUAGGGGAACCUGCGGUUGGAUCACCUCCUUACCUUAAAGAA